rnacentral:tRNA from 1 species
GCCUGGGUGGCUUGGUUGGUUAAGCGUCCGACUUUGGCUCAGGUCAUGAUCUCACGGUCCGUGGGUUCGAGCCCCGCGUCGGGCU